AUUGAACGCUGGCGGCAGGCUUAACACAUGCAAGUCGAGCGGGGUGAUGGUGCUUGCACUAUCACUUAGCGGCGGACGGGUGAGUAAUGCUUAGGAAUCUGCCUAUUAGUGGGGGACAACAUCUCGAAAGGGAUGCUAAUACCGCAUACGUCCUACGGGAGAAAGCAGGGGAUCACUUGUGACCUUGCGCUAAUAGAUGAGCCUAAGUCGGAUUAGCUAGUUGGUGGGGUAAAGGCCUACCAAGGCGACGAUCUGUAGCGGGUCUGAGAGGAUCAUGUGCCACGCUGUGACUGAGACACAGCCCAGACUCCUACGGGAGGCAGCAGUGGGGAAUAUUGGACAAUGGGGGGAACCCUGAUCCAGCCAUUCCGCGUGUGUGAAGAAGGCCUUAUGGUUGUAAAGCACUUUAAGCGAGGAGGAGGCUCUUUUGGUUAAUACCCAAGAUGAGUGGACGUUACUCGCAGAAUAAGCACCGGCUAACUCUGUGCCAGCCGCCGCGGUAA
rnacentral:rRNA from 1 species